rnacentral:lncRNA from 1 species
CACAGACACUGAGGCCCCAAUCAUCAGUGAUUAUUGCUCCUGCUCUAGCAGGUGCCACCCAGAAAACCCAAGGGUUUUAGAGACUCCACUCAAGAAGAUGGAUACGGCAGCGCAGUGGUGCAGUUCAAUUUUGGAUUUUGCCUUUAUUGGGAUGUUGCAGAGCAGCACCACUGACCCAUGGAUUGUACCUGACAGUGUUUUAACUGCCACUGGGGCCACCAGACUUGCUGGGAACUGGGAAUCUCCAAAGCCAGCUACCAGGAGCUCCUUCACCAACCUGAAUUGGGCAGUGGCUGAAGUCACCCAUCAGAUGAUGUCGACCAUGGAGGUGCACACGAAGGGUGAAGGUUUCCCUCUGUCCCCAAACUCCAGGGUUUCAUGUAAAAUUGAACAGUGA